rnacentral:rRNA from 1 species
GACGAACGCUGGCGGCGUGCUUAACACAUGCAAGUCGAACGGUGAAGCGCCUUCCUUUUUGGUGGGUGUGUAUGAGUGGCCAACGGGUUAGUAACACGUUAGUAACCUUCCCCCUUUUUUUUGAUUACCGCAUGAAAGAGGUGCUAAUAAGGGAUAUUUUGGGUCUGUUGCAUGAUUGGUUUGGGAAAGAUUUUGUUUCGGUGGGGGAUGGGCUCGCGGCCUAUCAGCUUGUUGGUGGGGUGAUGGCCUACCAAGGCGGUGAGGGGUAGCCGGCCUGAGAGGGUGGACGGUCACACUGGGACUGAGACACGGCCCAGACUCCUACGGGAGGCAGCAGUGGGGAAUAUUGCACAAUGGGCGGAAGGCUGAUGCAGCGACUCCGCGUGAGGGAUGGAGGCCUUCGGGUUGUGAACCUCUUUCGCCAGUGAAGCAGGCCUGCCUCGUUUGUGGGUGGGUUGACGGUAGCUGGAUAAGAAGCGCCGGCUAACUACGUG